GACAGAGGAUGCAAGCGUUAUCCGGAAUUAUUGGGCGUAAAGCGUUCGUAGGUGGUUUGACAAGUCUGGGGUUAAAGCCCGGAGCUCAACUCCGGAUCGGCCCUGGAAACUGUCAGACUUGAGUAAGGUAGGGGUUGCGGGAAUUCCCGGUGUAGCGGUGAAAUGCGUAGAUAUCGGGAAGAACACCAGCGGCGAAAGCGCGCAACUGGGCCAUUACUGACACUGAGGGACGAAAGCUAGGGGAGCGAAUGGG
rnacentral:rRNA from 1 species